GAUGAACGCUGGCGGCGUGCUUAACACAUGCCAGUCGAACGAGAAGUGGAGACGGAAACCUGCGGGCGGAAGACUUUACUUCGAGUGGCGGACGGGUGAGUAACGCGUGGGUAACCUGCCUCAUACAGGGGGAUAACAGUUGGAAACGACUGUUAAUACCGCAUAAGACCACAGCACCGCAUGGUGCGGGGGUAAAAACUCCGGUGGUAUGAGAUGGACCCGCGUUCGAUUAGCCAGUUGGCGGGGUAACGGCCCACCAAAGCGACGAUCGAUAGCCGAUCUGAGAGGAUGACCGGCCACAUUGGGACUGAGACACGGCCCAAACUCCUACGGGAGGCAGCAGUGGGGAAUAUUGCACAAUGGGGGAAACCCUGAUGCAGCGACGCCGCGUGAGUGAAGAAGUAUUUCGGUAUGUAAAGCUCUAUCAGCAGGGAAGAAAAUGACAGUACCUGAGUAAGAAGCCCCGGCUAACUACGUG
rnacentral:rRNA from 1 species